AACGUAGGGGGCCAGCGUUGCUCGGAAUUACUGGGCGUAAAGGGUCCGUAGGCGGUGUGGCAAGUCGGAAGUGAAAUCUCUGGGCUUAACUCAGAGGCUGCUUCCGAAACUGCCGUGCUAGAGUGCGAGAGAGGCAAGUGGAAUUGCGGGUGUAGCGGUGAAAUGCGUAGAUAUCCGCAGGAACAUCCGAGGCGAAAGCGGCUUGCUGGAUCGCAACUGACGCUGAGGGACGAAAGCUAGGGGAGCAAACAGG
rnacentral:rRNA from 1 species